UAAACCCCAUCUCUCCUUACUCUUUUGAGAAGUACAGCUAAUUGCUGAGAUAAAGCUCCAUUUGUGUUUUUUACCUGACAAAAUGAUUGCCAUCUUUUGUUUUGCCGUAAGCCCCUGCCUGAAUUCUCGUGGGCCUUUCUUUACUUCAGGGCACUUUGGGUCGAGCUCAAGCUCUAACCUUAGUUUAUGGUGAAUUUCUUCAUUAUAUGUUUCCUUUCUUUUGUUCAAGGCUAUUAACAUAUUAACUGCCAUGUUCUCAUUUCAGAGAUGGCUAUACGGUUCCUGGUGGCCCCCAUUUCAACGACAUUUUGACCCAGGAUCAUUCUGGGCCGCGUUCAGCCCCCAUGGCACCCACCUGGCUGCAGGAUAUAGCCCUAAGAUAAACGCAGAUUUGAAUUCCCUAGCGUCUUCCCACUGGAGAUCCUGACGUGUUUCACAGACAGGGAUAUAUUCAGCUCACAAACGGCCUGGGGAUAGGGUUAGUGAACAAGAGAAUAAGGACUCUUGGCGGUGCUGAUGUAAGCUUCAACCACGACUAAGCACAGCUUAUUUUGAGGCUUGAAAAAGUUUGGUUCCUCGUUUGCCAUUAUCUUUGCUCCUCUGCUGUUUCGCCUGCCUGCUCGCAGUGGGCUAAUUCGGAGCACGGGAGCUCCAUGUUUUGCAAUACAACCUGAAGGAGGAGCGGCACAAAACUACCCGUUCUUGUGAAAUUUUCGGUCUACCCCUGUUGACCCAGGAUAUUUAAGCAACUCAAACAGGCAGCUGCACUUCACAAGGGCAAAAUAAAUUGAGUCCAAACUCCACAGCGUUUUCUAUUCCCCUAUGAGUGGCUUUCUUCAGUGUUUGUGAGUCCUUCACAUUUUAGCUUUGUAUGUUAGAAACCCUGUCUUCUGGCAGUUUAUCAGGUGUCUCCACUAUUAGUUUCAAAAUAGAUAUUAAAUACCGCUUUUGCACCUUGUAGCUGCAAAGAUUUUCAGAUGUAUUGAACAGCUUUUCUGCUCUUCAGCCGUCAAAGAUUAUACACUGAGAAUAAAUUACUCAGCUGGGUGCAUUGUUUGUAGGCAAACGCAGUACGUGACAGUAUCAGUAGUCCCUGUGUUUAAAAGCAUGUAAAACACUUUCUCUUCUUCUGUGCUUUCCAUUGCGAUUCUGGAAACAUUGGCUCAGCUAAGUUCUCCGCCCAAACAAGCUCUGGUUGCUGGCAAAGACGUCUGAGGUCUCAGCGUUGUCAGCCCAACUUCUAAUCCUUCAUGCAGAGGAUGAGGCCAGACCUGCGCCAGAUUUUGGACAUGAUGACGUGUUGGGGGGCUGCAGAGCUGCUGAAGGAGGCUGAGCUCCUCCUCGCCGUCUCCCCGUGCAGGACCCCUGCAGCGCUCCAGCCCGGGCCCCGGCGUGGUCCCGCUGUGCUGCGUUGGCAGCACACAUGUUUUCAUGGGAGCAGAUCACUCUCGCCGCUGUCUGGCACCGGCGAGUGAGCCUCGCUGGGGUGCAAGUGCUCUGUCUCAUCUCAGUCCUCUGUCAACAUCUGGCCGACAGCCCGCUGCUAGUCGGACAUAGCUGGACAAGCAAUUCCCUCAUUUCUCCAGAACGUGGAUACCAUUUGAAAGGCCUCUUGCUUCCAUCAGGACUGGCUUCCAGCUGGACUCUUCUGGGGUUUUUUUCUUUUUUCUUUUUCUUUUUUUUUUUUUUAAGAAAAGAUGUGCUUGGUGGGUAUUGAUAAACAUUUGCAGCAUCAGUCAGUUUUCUGAGGUUUGCCUAGCUUAUUUCAUCUCCUUUAUCUAAGUUUCUUAUUACAAGACUUAAUUUCCAAUGUUUCCCACUGCAUCAGUGUACCACAUCCUUCGAGGACAGCAUCACAUUUCCCCAGACUUGCUGACUUGUAUAAGAAUGUAUUCACAGACCUUUCACCAAACUAGAAACCAGACUAGAACUUGUUUUACUAAUUAUAUUUCCUUCCCACAACCCAUGCUUCUUAAAAUGUAUUCAUAAAACUGUUAAUGAACAGUGAAUUUGGCCUUAAAAUUGUAAUCAAUUUAAUCAAGAGCUGAAAUUUAUUUGGAACCUAAGCAGCAAUAGUUCAUAAGUACUAAACCAGCCUGUUGAGGACCAAAAAUGGUAUCUGAAUUGACAUUACUGGUCACAAAAUAUCUCGUAUAUCUUUAGCCAGUUAAAAUUUAGGCUCUAGGUCUGCAAGGGUAUAGGUAACAGAAAGAGAGAGGUACUUCCAAAGGGAAUUCACUCCUUCCUCAUCCUCAUAGGAUGAAGCACCUUUCUGAGAUACCCAUUUCCCUCCAUCUGACAAUGGAAGGAGCCCAGAAGAAUAAUUUAGGUAUACCCCUAAAUCUCAGCUAGCUACAGCAAAUAUCUUGCUAUGGACGACUGACAAAUAAUCCCUAAUUCAAAUAUGUUUGCAGAAACAAUUUGUCUAACCAUUUUGACAGAAUAAAUUUGAAGGGAAAAAAAAUCUGCUUGCAGAAAAACUGCAAGCAUAAAAGAUGACUAAAUUCCUUUAAUUAAAAAAUCAGUGUAAAUAGUGCUCUUGCUGAUAUUAAGUAUGUUUGUGAAGCAGAAAUAGUUUAAAUCAAACCUUACAUAUUAUAAAUACAGGGAUAGGCUUCUCACUGUGCAUAUGAUGCCUUCAUUAUUGCUAAAUGUAAUGCUGAUCUGUGUUCAUCUUUGACUAGCAAGGAUUGGAGACCUUUUUUUUUAAUUUUUGUUCUUAGAGUCAAGAAACAAGGCUUUUCUUCUCCUGUUUUGCUUUAUUUCUGGAUAUUUCACGAGCCCUUUGGAUUCUCUUGAUUCUGCCUGAUAUACAUGACAAUCUUGCAGGGUAAACUAGGGAUAGAUGUUGCAUGCUCAUUUGUUCUUGUCCUCUCAUAUAAUAGCUCUCUUCCCCAGUUAUUUUAUCAUCUGCUCCAGAUUAGAAGCAGGAACGACUGUCUGACACGACAUGCUGCACUUUGUCUGGUAGAUCAGCAUACAGAUAAGAAAACUCAUUUUCUUCCCAAAAAAAGUUUUCUCUCUGUAGGCUGCUUUCCGAAUUUCUUCAGGACACAAACUCUUCUUCUAGGUCUUUCGUGUCUGCACUGCUCAAUGGUAACUACAGCUUCUUGGAGAGGGCUCACAGCAUUUUAAGGGAAAGAAAUGCAACUAUCCGCUGAUAGUUUGCCCUGAUCUAGUUGUUGCCCUUGUAGUUGAGCCGAAGUAGAGACCCAGUAUUCCAUCUCUGUCAUGCAAAUGCCUUAACUUGUCUCAGAUUUAAAGGAAAGGGAGACCCAUGAUAGGAUUGUGGCUUCAGCAUUCAGUAUCAGUUUGUUCUGACUAAUAUGAAUAUUGGAGAUGUAAGGAGUGAAAUCCCUCGAAAUAAAGAUAGUCAAGAAGAGAGACUCCCAAGAGAUGUUUCAAAAAUAGUUGCUUUCAUUUUUAUUAGCAAAGUACAGAAGCAAAGGGGAAAAACAAGUUUAGAAAAAUCAUUCAGUUCCUUAAACACUUUUGAGAAACUUGCUAAGAGAGUCCUAACCUUUAACUACAGAGUAUAGUUUAAGAUAUUUUGAAAUAGUACAUGGCAGAACAAAUUCUCUUUCCCAUACUAAUGGCUGUCUCUGUCUGUCUGUCAGCUCAGAGUUCAAUCACGUAUUCACAAUAAAGUAUGGGUCAAGUCCGA